rnacentral:snRNA from 1 species
AUUUUAUCUUCGGAGAUAUCUAAUAAAAUUGGUACAAUACAAAGAAAUUAGCAUGAUCCCUGCGCAAAGAUGACAUGCACACUCAACUCUU